UACGUAGGGGGCAAGCGUUGUCCGGAAUCAUUGGGCGUAAAGAGCGUGUAGGCGGUCCGGUAAGUCCGCUGUGAAAGUCGGGGGCUCAACCCUCGAAUGCCGGUGGAUACUGUCGGGCUAGAGUGCGGAAGAGGUGAGUGGAAUUCCUGGUGUAGCGGUGAAAUGCGCAGAUAUCAGGAGGAACACCGAUGGCGAAGGCAGCUCACUGGGACGGUACUGACGCUGGAGGCGACGAAAGCGUGGGGAGCAAACAGG
rnacentral:rRNA from 1 species